rnacentral:tRNA from 1 species
UAUCCCCCAUGGCGCAAUUGGCUAGCGCGUUCGACUGUUAAUCGGGAGGUUGAUAGUUCGAGCCUAUCUGGGUUAG